AAUGCCCCUAAAGACUUUACACGUGUGGUUUCUGUGUCACAUGUGUGUCAGUAGGUGGCAGAGAAGAGAGGCUAUGUCUACACUCAGUGUUCUGACCUGUGAACAUCUGCGUGAUUAAUAGCCUAACACU